rnacentral:lncRNA from 1 species
GGGCCUAGACCUUUUGCAGCCCGAACUGCAUCACCAGAUCAUGAAGGAAUAACUCCCGCAGUCUGAAUAAAAGAGCUGAACUGCUGCUGUAGCAUCUUGAUUUGUGAUGUUGUUGCCUUCUCGGUCUUCUUCUGUCUCUCUCUCUGUUCAGCAAGCUCUUCAGUGAGUUGAGAAACCGUAUUUUGUAGUCUUUCAGUGGUUUCUCUAUCAACUAAAGAGCUAGAGUAUGCA